rnacentral:rRNA from 1 species
UACGUAGGGUGCGAGCGUUAUUCGGAAUUACUGGGCGUAAAGCGUGCGCAGGCGGUUUUGUAAGCCAGAUGUGAAAGCCCCGGGCUUAACCUGGGAAUGGCAUUUGGGACUGCAAGGCUCGAGUGCGGCAGAGGAGACUGGAAUUCCUGGUGUAGCAGUGAAAUGCGUAGAUAUCAGGAGGAACACCGAUGGCGAAGGCAGGUCUCUGGGCUGACACUGACGCUCAUGCACGAAAGCGUGGGGAGCAAACAGG